rnacentral:lncRNA from 1 species
UCAGGGUCCUGACUCAUCUGAAAAGAUCAUACCACACAGUGAGGGAAGAGGCCCCCUUCCAGAAGACGACUCUGGAUCCCAGCAUCUGUCAGGGGCUUGGCACCUGAGGCACUCUAAGAACACUGAAAGAAGGCUGCAUGGGAGCCUGAGCUAGCCCCUGGAAUGCUUCUGAGGGAACAGGGAAAGGACAGAGGUGUUUCAAUCACAUACACUCUCUCCUUAUUUCAAAGGUAAUGGUUUCUCAUUGAACAAACUUUAGAAAAUAUAGAUAAGAGAAAACAAGUUAAAACUACCCAACAUCCCACCACCCAGAGAUUAAAAGGCACCCCAAAUCUUACCACUAUUGAGGAGACCAUCCUCAGCAGCCUGGGCUUCAGGUCAACAGCCAGGUUCUGUUACCUGCCACUGUGUGAUCUCAGACUAGCCAUUCUACUCCUAGAUACCUCAUUUUCCUCACCUGAAAACAGGAAGAAUAAAUUACCCAUAGGUUUGUCAUGAGAGUUAACUGAAAGAACUCAGUGGACAGCUAUUAUAACGUUUUGGUAUGUGUCCUUUUGACCUUUUCCCUUAUGCAAAUAUAUACUAUACACAGGUAAUAAUAUAUAUGGAAAAAUGGAAGCUGAGUUCCAGUAUACUUCUUGAAUAAAGAGAAAAUGCUAUUAUUUCAGUCCCAGCACAUCAAAGCAAAGCUGAGCUUGCUUUCUGAAUUCUCUGUCUCACACACAGCCCUGCAUGUCCUUCCUUCAUAGUCAGGUAGAGCCUUCCUCCCACUUUAAGGUGUGAGCUCCUCCUAAACUCACCUGGGGUCUAGUAAGUGAAUAGGAUCAAAUCUGGUCUAUGAUUUUUCAUUAACUGUGACCCAGAUGUUCUGCAUCUUAUCCUCGAUGCAAUGAUACUUCUCAGAAUGAAACAGAGAUCACUGUUUCCAGUGUCAUAGGAUACAAGCCAUUUAAAUGCACUAUAAGGAUAUCGUUUUAAAUUAGACAGGUUUAGCAAAGAGAGAUUGAGAUAGUCAUGCCAUCCCCUCAGUUUGUGAAUAUUCUUCCAGCACUUCUCUAUUCUAAUGUUUAUUAAAUUGUAUUAUCUAAAAUGUAGAAAAAUCACUUCAUUAUUUGGGCAUGUUUUUGUCUGUCCCACAAGACUUAUGCUCCCUCUUCUUGUUUCACUGCUUAGGGUCAUAUACAAAAAUUUUCAGUUUACAUUUUACAACUGAAUGAAUAAGCAAAUGGGUAAGUAGACUCCUGCCCAAGUAGAAGAUAAAAGAGAACUAAACCCAGAACUGAAAGCCAGAUCUCAAGAUUCUCAGCCCAGUUCUUGUAUCUCUCUCUAAGAUAACUUGUGUCAUGUGUCAAACCCAAAUGAUUCACCAAAUAGACCCUGAGCAUCUACUAAUGUGCCAGGGGUGCUUCCUCUAAUAGUUAUACACAGAGAGUUGGGGGUAUUGACCUUAGCCAUUGCUAUUGUCAAGAGUCUAAGAAAUCUAAGCCCUGCUACCCAGAGGAGGGUCCUACUUCCCAUACUCUGCUCUAGCCCAGCCUAAUAUAAAAGUCAG